AUAUUUUUUUUUUGCCAUCCCUUUUGCAAAUUUAUUUUUGUAGAUUUUUAUUUGAAUGGAUUUUUUUUUUUUUUGGCUUUAGGGAAUUUUUGUUUAUAAUAAUCCAUUUUCCGAUUAAUCGUGCUUUUUCCAUUAGGUGUUGGCGGUGGAGAUAAAUGCGAGCUGGUGUUGUGUGGGUGAGACAUUGUAGGGUUAGUAGUUUGAAAAUUCUCCGAUUCUUUCUUCAUUAGUCUAUGUAUUUUAUUGAUUUUUGUCCUGCCAAGACUUGGGUAAUGUUUGAAUUGAAUUCUGUUAUUUAAACUAAUACAUGUUAAUUACUUUCGUGUUGCGUACAGACCCCGCUUCCGUAUGAUUUCUUCAUCUGAAACCUGCAAUCCGAAAAAUAAAUGUGAGGAUUUACACAAAUCCUCGAGUAUUUCCCCAACUCUUUACUUCUCUGUCAUUAGGUUCCCAGUGAGCAGAAGUUACCAUCACUUUAUCUUUUGGACAGUAUUGUAAAGAAUAUUGGAAGGGAUUAUAUCAAAUAUUUUGCUGCCAGACUCCCUGAGGUUAGAUUUCCUGCUUGAUUCUUAUCAUGCUUUUCUUUAUGGAAGAACAAGGAAAGAAAAUCUGCAAAAAACACAAGAUUAGUCAAAUUCUCCCACCGUUUCAUUUUAAAGAUGUUUACAGCUUUAGGAACCUACUUUUCAUCCUGAGUUUUCAUCCCACCGGAGAUUGGCGGCUUCAGCUUCAUUGUUGCUGAGACUGGUGGCCCAUUGGUGUCGGGUACGGUUUAUUGAUAUAUAGGAGUUUAUAGGCUUAAUGACUUGAAGCAACGUGUUUGCUUACUUGCCAAAGCUUUUAACGUGUUUCGGGAGUGAUACACAUGGAGAAUACCAGUGGCUACACAUUCCAGGUUUGAGCAUUCGCUUGCUGUCUAUUUGCCAUACAUGACGAUAAAGAAAGCCAGCAAAUUUUCAAGUCAUGUUCGCUGAUUAGGAUUGGAUUUGUCUUGGGUUAAGUAGAAUUUGAUUGAAGAGGCUAACAUUAAGUAUUUGUGGGUUAAUUUUCGCAUUGUUAGAUUUUUUGUAUGCAGAGAAAGGUCUCUGGCUCUUAUAUACCUAACUAUUAGCCAUUUAUUUGUAUUAUUUCUUUGUUCCAUAUAAGUAUUGCUUGCAAUGUCA